UGCAAUUGAUGGAAUAUCUUUAAAAUGCUGAGAAUAUUUUCCAACAAUAUUGUGACCUCUAUGAAUAUGAAGGAGAAAAGGUGGAAAUAUGCUUUAAGAGCACUAAUUUAUAUGGUGUAGUGAAAGUUCAUGUAAUUUUUUCAAAAUCGAAUAUGCGGAAAGGAGCUGUUUGGAAUAAAGAUUUACAAAAAGAAGUAAUUCUAUCUGAUUGGAUUCUGAUUACAAGAAGAAGUAAUUCCAUCUGAUUGGAUUAGUGAUAAAACUUUUUGUCGGCGUCC